rnacentral:pre_miRNA from 1 species
GGGGGGAGCACCGGAUCCUGGGCUGUGUCCCCCGGCGCCCUGGGUUCUGGGGCCUGCACUGCUGGAAUUGGGCUCCCGGGCCAUGCAGCUCCCU